CGAAUAUUGAAAUGUUUUCAUUUUUUUAUCAAUGAACAUAUUAAUACGUUAAUCGUUGCAUUUUUUCGCACCAAAAUAUUUAACCGUUCGCCUUCUAGAGUUACCUAAGGUGGCGACACCAAUAUUGCCACUUGUCCAAAUUGUGCCGGGAUAUUAGGUUUAAACAUAUUACGGAACGUAAUAAAAUAUUUUAAUGGUAAAUGGCUACAUAUCUUUUCUAAAAC